rnacentral:tRNA from 1 species
GGCAUUGGUGGUUCAGUGGUAGAAUUCUUGCCUUCUGUGUAGGAGACCCAGGUUUGAUUCCUGGCCAACAUGCCU